rnacentral:rRNA from 1 species
UCCUACGGGGGGCAGCAGUAGGGAAUUUUCGGCAAUGGGGGGAACCCUGACCGAGCAACGCCGCGUGAACGAAGAAGUUAUUCGUAAUGUAAAGUUCUUUUAUCAGGGAAGAAAGAGGAAUUUGACGGUACCUGAGGAAUAAGCUCCGGCUAACUACGUGCCAGCAGCCGCGGUGAUACGGAGGAUGCGAGCGUUAUCCGGAUUUAUUGGGUUUAAAGGGUGCGUAGGCGGUUUGUCAAGUCAGCGGUAAAAAUUCCGGGCUCAACCCGGUCCCGCCGUUGACACUGGCGAACUCGAGAGG